rnacentral:rRNA from 1 species
GAUGAACGCUGGCGGCGUGCCUAACACAUGCAAGUCGAACGGACCUUGCUCAACAGAGGUACUUGUACCGAAGGAGAGCGCUGGUUAGUGGCGGACGGGUGAGUAACACGUGGGUAAUUAACCUUCCGGACCGGGAUAACAUCGGGAAACUGGUGCUAAUACCGGAUACGAUUCACGGGCGGCAUCGCCUGUGGAUGAAAAGAGGCCUCUCGAAAGAAGCUCCUGCUGGAAGACAAGCCCGCGGCUGAUUAGCUAGUUGGUAAGGUAACGGCUUACCAAGGCAACGAUCAGUAGCCGGCCUGAGAGGGUGAACGGCCACACUGGGACUGAGACACGGCCCAGACUCCUACGGGAGGCAGCAGUGGGGAAUAUUGCGCAAUGGGGGAAACCCUGACGCAGCAAACGCCGCGUGAGCGAAAGAAGGCCUUAAGGGUCGUAAAAGCUCUGUUGUAAAGGGACGAAUGUUUAUCUGGCGAACAGUCAGAUAAAGUGACGGUACCUUACCAAGCAAAGCCCCGGCUAA